ACAAAUUAAAACCCCAUCAGCAAAACAUACAGACUUUGCUUCCGAAGACAAUUGGAAACCAAGCUCAUCCAAAAAGAAUAUAGCCCAGAAACCAACAUUUAUGCAGAGGUCAAAGAAGAAACGAAGAGUCAAACAUGUAGAUGAUACAGAUUCAGAUGAAGAAUGGAGACCAAGUUCAGAAAAAGCAAAGAAAUCUGCAAAUCCACCAGUAUUUAAGUUGUUGAAGAAAACUA